rnacentral:rRNA from 1 species
GUGGGGAAUAUUGCGCAAUGGGCGAAAGCCUGACGCAGCGACGCCGCGUGAGGGAUGAAGGUUUUCGGAUCGUAAACCUCUGUCAGAAGGGAAGAAACUACAUUGUGCUAAUCAGCAGUGUACUGACGGUACCUUCAAAGGAAGCACCGGCUAACUCCGUGCCAGCAGCCGCGGUAAUACGGAGGGUGCAAGCGUUCAUCGGAAUUACUGGGCGUAAAGCGCACGUAGGCUGUAGUGUAAGUCAGGGGUGAAAUCCCACGGCUCAACCGUGGAACUGCCGUUGAUACUGCACAACUUGAAUCCGGGAGAGGGUGGCGGAAUUCCAGGUGUAGGAGUGAAAUCCGUAGAUAUCUGGAGGAACAUCAGUGGCGAAGGCGGCCACCUGGACCGGUAUUGACGCUGAGGUGCGAAAGCGUGGGGAGCAAACAGGAUUAGAUACCCUAGUAGUCC